GUCCAUAAUGACUCUCGGCAACGGAUAUCUCGGCUCUUGCAUCGAUGAAGAACGUAGCGAAAUGCGAUACUUGGUGUGAAUUGCAGAAUCCCGUGAACCAUCGAGUCUUUGAACGCAAGUUGCGCCCAAAGCCAUUAGGCUAAGGGCACGCCUGCCUGGGUGUCACCAA
rnacentral:rRNA from 1 species